CCCUUAGAUGUUCUGGGCUGCACGCGCGCUACACUGAAGCGUUCAACGAGUAUUCACCUUGCCCGGGAGGGUUGGGUAAUCUUUUGAAAACGCUUCGUGAUGGGGAUAGAUUAUUGCAAUUAUUAAUCUUCAACGAGGAAUUCCUAGUAAGCGCGAGUCAUCAGCUUGCAUUGAUUACGUCCCUGCCCUUUGUACACACCGCCCGUCGCUCCUACCGAUUGAAUGAUCCGAUGAAUAUCAUGGAUUGAGGAUUAUAGCAGGUUCGCCUGUCUUGAUCUUCGAGAAGUGAAGUAAAUCUUAUCAUUUAGAGGAAGGAGAAGUCGUAACA
rnacentral:rRNA from 1 species